rnacentral:lncRNA from 1 species
GGGGGGAGGGGGGGAGCAAGGAACUACAUUACCCAGAAUCCCUGCGGCAGAACCUGGGCCGGCCCCUGGCUUCCAAGCCAACUGGCAGUCUGAACUGAUAAGCCAAUCAGGGUAUGAGACUGAGGCUGGUGUUCUCAUCGGCUCCUCAGAGAAACUGAAGGUGAUGGUCAAGAAGGGUUAGAACAUCACCAAACAACAUAGCCCAGCUCCAAAGCUCUGUUCAGCACCCAUGAUUUGCCAGCUUGGAUCCAGCCCAGCAAAGGAGGUCUCUGCAGCCAUGGGAGCACGUUUGCAGCCUCGUUAGUGGAUGUGGAGUGGACUCUCUAGCUGGAAAGCAUGGGUGUCACAUUCUGCCUGAGAAGGGUUUCAGCAACCUGGAAAUCACCUAUUCCAGAGACUGUAUCUAUAAAAUGCAGCCUGGAUCCCUGAGUCACUGCUUGGAAGAGAACUUCUUUGGAGAGCCAAUGGACCCAGAACAGACUUUUCAGGAACCAAAAAUAAACAUUUGUGUAUUAAACCACUGAAAUCUCCGAGAUAGUUUGUUACUGCAGCAUAGCCUCACUUAACCUGACUAAUACACCAUGUGCUCCAGAUCUACUAGUUGGGAUGGAGUUACUAACCCACAUUGGACUACGACAGUGUGAGGAAUAAACUGCCAUUGGGUUAAGUCA